GGAAGUGAUUGUAGGGCGCAAUCACGUUAAUCAAAAGAAAGUUCGAUCGAGG
rnacentral:sRNA from 12 species